AUGAACGCUAGCUACAGGCUUAACACAUGCAAGUCGAGGGGCAGCAUGGUCUUAGCUUGCUAAGGCCGAUGGCGACCGGCGCACGGGUGAGUAACACGUAUCCAACCUGCCGUCUACUCUUGGACAGCCUUCUGAAAGGAAGAUUAAUACAAGAUGGCAUCAUGAGUCCGCAUGUUCACAUGAUUAAAGGUAUUCCGGUAGACGAUGGGGAUGCGUUCCAUUAGAUAGUAGGCGGGGUAACGGCCCACCUAGUCUUCGAUGGAUAGGGGUUCUGAGAGGAAGGUCCCCCACAUUGGAACUGAGACACGGUCCAAACUCCUACGGGAGGCAGCAGUGAGGAAUAUUGGUCAAUGGGCGAGAGCCUGAACCAGCCAAGUAGCGUGAAGGAUGACUGCCCUAUGGGUUGUAAACUUCUUUUAUAAAGGAAUAAAGUCGGGUAUGCAUACCCGUUUGCAUGUACUUUAUGAAUAAGGAUCGGCUAACUCCGUGCCAGCAGCCGCGGUAAUACGGAGGAUCCGAGCGUUAUCCGGAUUUAUUGGGUUUAAAGGGAGCGUAGGCGGACGCUUAAGUCAGUUGUGAAAGUUUGCGGCUCAACCGUAAAAUUGCAGUUGAUACUGGAUAUCUUGAGUGCAGUUGAGGCAGGCGGAAUUCGUGGUGUAGCGGUGAAAUGCUUAGAUAUCACGAAGAACUCCGAUUGCGAAGGCAGCCUGCUAAGCUGCAACUGACAUUGAGGCUCGAAAGUGUGGGUAUCAAACAGGAUUAGAUACCCUGGUAGUCCACACGGUAAACGAUGAAUACUCGCUGUUUGCGAUAUACAGCAAGCGGCCAAGCGAAAGCGUUAAGUAUUCCACCUGGGGAGUACGCCGGCAACGGUGAAACUCAAAGGAAUUGACGGGGGCCCGCACAAGCGGAGGAACAUGUGGUUUAAUUCGAUGAUACGCGAGGAACCUUACCCGGGCUUAAAUUGCAGAUGAAUUACGGUGAAAGCCGUAAGCCGCAAGGCAUCUGUGAAGGUGCUGCAUGGUUGUCGUCAGCUCGUGCCGUGAGGUGUCGGCUUAAGUGCCAUAACGAGCGCAACCCUUGUUGUCAGUUACUAACAGGUCAUGCUGAGGACUCUGACAAGACUGCCAUCGUAAGAUGUGAGGAAGGUGGGGAUGACGUCAAAUCAGCACGGCCCUUACGUCCGGGGCUACACACGUGUUACAAUGGGGGGUACAGAGGGCCGCUACCACGCGAGUGGAUGCCAAUCCCAAAAACCUCUCUCAGUUCGGACUGGAGUCUGCAACCCGACUCCACGAAGCUGGAUUCGCUAGUAAUCGCGCAUCAGCCACGGCGCGGUGAAUACGUUCCCGGGCCUUGUACACACCGCCCGUCAAGCCAUGGGAGCCGGGGGUACCUGAAGUGCGUAACCGCGAGGAGCGCCCUAGGGUAAAACUGGUGACUGGGGCU
rnacentral:rRNA from 1 species